UAGGGAAUCUUCGGCAAUGGACGAAAGUCUGACCGAGCAACGCCGCGUGAGUGAAGAAGGUUUUCGGAUCGUAAAACUCUGUUGUUAGAGAAGAACAAGGACGUUAGUAACUGAACGUCCCCUGACGGUAUCUAACCAGAAAGCCACGGCUAACUACGUGCUAGCAGCCGCGGUAAUACGUAGGUGGCAAGCGUUGUCCGGAUUUAUUGGGCGUAAAGCGAGCGCAGGCGGUUUCUUAAGUCUGAUGUGAAAGCCCCCGGCUCAACCGGGGAGGGUCAUUGGAAACUGGGAGACUUGAGUGCAGAAGAGGAGGGUGGAAUUCCAUGUGUAGCGGUGAAAUGCGUAGAUAUAUGGAGGAACACCAGUGGCGAAGGCGGCUCUCUGGUCUGUAACUGACGCUGAGGCUCGAAAGCGUGGGGAGCAAACAGG
rnacentral:rRNA from 1 species